AUGUAUUUAUGCUUCGGAAUAAAGGUACAACGUUCUAUUAAGAAUGGCUCCUUUUUCAAAAGUUUCAAAUGCAAAUAAAUCGCGCAUAGCGCAACGGAGGUUUCAUUCUUAUGGAACAAGGUACAGUUAAAUGGUUUAACGCAGACAAAGGUUACGGCUUCAUUACUUUAGAAAACGGCUCAGAUGUAUUCGUACAUUUCUCAGCUAUCAACUCUGAAGGCUUCAAGACUCUUGAAGAAGGCCAAAAAGUUACUCUUGACGUUGAAGAUGGCGAUCGUGGACCACAAGCUGCCAACGUUACUGUUGCUUAAUUAACCUAAUCGUUAAGCGGAACCUCACCAUUCGUGGUGAGGUUUUUUU
rnacentral:sRNA from 1 species